rnacentral:rRNA from 1 species
UGGGGAAUUUUGGACAAUGGGGGGUACCCUGAUCCAGCAAUGCCGCGUGGGUGAAGAAGGCCUGCGGGUUGUAAAGCCCUUUCGAUAAGGAAGAAAGGAUGUGCAGUAAUACUGCACGUAAUUGACGUUACUUAGAGAAGAAGCACCGGCUAACUCCGUGCCAGCAGCCGCGGUAAUACGGAGGGUGCAAGCGUUAAUCGGAAUUACUGGGCGUAAAGGGCGUGUAGGCGGUAGAGUAAGUCGGAUGUGAAAUCCCUGGGCUUAACCUAGGAAUGGCAUUCGAUACUGCUAAGCUAGAGUAUCGUAGAGGAUAGCGGAAUUUCCGGUGUAGCGGUGAAAUGCGUAGAGAUCGGGAGGAACAUCAGUGGCGAAGGCGGCUAUCUGGGCGGUAACUGACGCU